rnacentral:sRNA from 1 species
CGAAAAUGAUACACUUCCUAUAGUUUUGAUUUCAAUAAAGUCUUACUAUACGAUAUUACCUUCAUUCUGAAAUAAAGUUUGAAGGAAUAUGUUUGGACAGAAAAGUGUGUGUGUGUGUGUGUGUGUGUGUGUAUGUGUGUAGGUCUGA